rnacentral:rRNA from 1 species
UUAAAUUGAAGAGUUUGAUCAUGGCUCAGAUUGAACGCUGGCGGCAGGCCUAACACAUGCAAGUCGAACGGUAACAGGAAGCAGCUUGCUGCUUUGCUGACGAGUGGCGGACGGGUGAGUAAUGUCUGGGAAACUGCCUGAUGGAGGGGGAUAACUACUGGAAACGGUGGCUAAUACCGCAUAACGUCGCAAGACCAAAGAGGGGGACCUUCGGGCCUCUUGCCAUCAGAUGUGCCCAGAUGGGAUUAGCUUGUGGGAGAGGUAACGGCUCACCAAGGCGACGAUCCCUAGCUGGUCUGAGAGGAUGACCAGCCACACUGGAACUGAGACACGGUCCAGACUCCUACGGGAG